GACGAACGCUGGCGGCGUGCUUAACACAUGCAAGUCGAGCGGUAAGGCCCUUUCGGGGGUACGACGAGCGGCGAACGGGUGAGUAACACGUGGGUGACCUGCCCUCAGCUCUGGGAUAAGCCCGGGAAACUGGGUCUAAUACCGGAUAUGACUUCAUGACGCAUGUUGUGGAGUGGAAAGCCUUGUGCGGCUGAGGAUGGGCCCGC
rnacentral:rRNA from 1 species